rnacentral:rRNA from 1 species
AGAGUUUGAUCAUGGCUCAGGAUGAACGCUGGCGGCGUGCCUAACACAUGCAAGUCGAGCGGAGAUUUCUGAAGCAGUAAUGCGGAAGGGAUCUUAGCGGCGGACGGGUGAGUAACACGUGAGUAAUCUGCCUUCUGCAGGGGAAUAACAUUGUGAAAACAGUGCUAAUACCGCAUAACGUCCGACUGGGACAUCCCGGACGGACCAAAGGAGAAAUCCGGCAGAAGAUGAGCUCGCGUCCGAUUAGCUAGUUGGCGGGGUAACGGCCCACCAAGGCUUCGAUCGGUAGCCGAACUGAGAGGUUGAUCGGCCACAUUGGGACUGAGACACGGCCCAGACUCCUACGGGAGGCAGCAGUGGGGAAUAUUGGGCAAUGGGCGAAAGCCUGACCCAGCAACGCCGCGUGAAGGAUGAAGGCUUUCGGGUUGUAAACUUCUUUGAUCAGGGACGAAAAAAAUGACGGUACCUGAAGAACAAGCCACGGCUAACUACGUGCCAGCAGCCGCGGUAAUACGUAGGUGGCAAGCGUUAUCCGGAUUUACUGGGUGUAAAGGGCGUGUAGGCGGGCUGACAAGUCGGAUGUUUAAUUCCCGGGCUUAACCCGGGCGGGUCAUCCGAAACUGUCGGUCUUGAGUACUGGAGAGGAUAGUGGAAUUCCUAGUGUAGCGGUAAAAUGCGUAGAUAUUAGGAGGAACACCAGUGGCGAAGGCGGCUAUCUGGACAGUAACUGACGCUGAGGCGCGAAAGCGUGGGGAGCGAACAGGAUUAGAUACCCUGGUAGUCC